rnacentral:rRNA from 1 species
AUGGUUGCAAUGGUUUGUCGUCAAGCUUCGUGCCGUGAGGUGUUAGGUUAAUUCCUGCAACGAGCGCCACUCCCUGUCUAUUAGUUGCCAUCAAUUCAGUUGGGGACCUCUAGUGAGACUGCCUACGCAAGUAGAGAGGGAAGGGUGGGGAUGACGUCAAAUCAUUCACGGCCCUUACGUCUUGGGCCACACACGUAAUACAAUGGGCCGGUACAGAGGGCAGCUACCAGGUGACUGGAUGCAAAUCUCGAAAGCCGGUCUCAGUUCGGAUUGGAGUCUGCAACUCGACUCUAUGAAGCUGGAAUCGCUAGUAAUCGCGCAUCAGCCAUGGCGCGGUGAAUACGUUCCCGGGCCUUGUACACACCGCCCGUCAAGCCAUGGAAGUUUGGGGUACCUGAAGUCGGUGACCGUAACAGGAGCUGCCUAGGGUAAAACAAGUAACUAGGGCUU